CAGAGACUCCAACAACAACAACAGCCACUCCUACAACUACCACAGAGGUUCCAACAACGACAACAGGUGCUCCCACUACAACAUCAGCUGGCCCUACAACUACCACAGAGACUCCAACAACAACAACAGCCACUCCUACAACUACCACAGAGGCUCCAACAACAACAACAGCCUCUACAACAACAACCACAACUUCUCCCACUACAACCACAGCUGCACCUACAACUACCACAGAGGCUCCAACAACAACAACAGUCACUCCUACAACUAGCAUAGAGGCUCCAACAACAUCCACAGCUUCUCCCACUAUAACCACAGCUGGUCCUACAACUACCACAGAGGUUCCAACAACGACAACAGCUGCUCCCACUACAACCAUAGCUGCACCUACAACUACAACAGGUGCUCCCACCACAACCACAGCUGCACCUAUAACAGCAACAGAGGCUCCAACAACAACGGCUGCUCCCAUUACAACCACAUCUGCACCUACAACUACCACAGAGGCUCCAUCAACAACAACGGCUCCUCCUAUUACAACCACAGCUGGCCCUACAACGAGCACAGAGGCUCCAACAACAACAACAGCUGCUCACACUACAACCACAGCUGCACCUACAACUACCACAGAGGGUCCAACAACAACAACAGCCACUCCUACUACAACCACAGCUGCACCUAUAACCGCAACAGACGCACCUACAACUACAUCAGGUUCUCCCACCACAACAUCAGCUGCACUUAUAACUGCAACAGAUGCUCCAACAAUAACAACAGCCACUCCUACGACUAGCACAGGUGCAUCAACAGACCCCCCUCAACAAAAUGAGGGUUACCUCUUUCUGAGGAUGCGUUUGGUGCGGGUUUUCGUAAUCGAAUACAACAACCCAAAGUCGUCGCAAUAUCAAGAAUUGGCUGCCAAUGUCACAGCUGAGCUGAAUCGGGGAUACAGGAUGCGAUACCCUUUCAGUUUCCUGAGAUGCAUAAUUAUUGGAUUUUGGCCUGGGUCAGUGGGUGUCACAGCCAACUUGAUAUUCCAGAAUAAGAGUGUAGUUCCGAACAUCACCAGUGCAGAAGACUCAUUAAAAACGUCUUUAAAUGAAUCCCUGGUUUUCCUGAAUGUUAUCAUUGGCAGUAUUGUUGCAGCUGAACCAAAUGCCUCCAGUACUGUAACUCCUACAACUGUGGAGGCAACUAAUUCCACAGUAGCACCUACAACCACAAGUACAGCUGCAAGUACCAGUACAACAACGCAAACAACUCAAACUGCCACAGCACUCACCACCACCAGCGGUGCAAUGGCAAGGAGCAGACCUGUAGAUAUGGUCACUUUUCUACUACCAAUCACUUUAGUCAACUUUCUGUACAUUUUGAUGUAGAUCUUUUCUGACUGUUUUGGGCCUUUCCUUCAUAUCAAAUUGCAGAACUGCAAAAACGUGUAAGAAUUCUAAUGAAUUAGGACAAGAAAAUAAUGUACUUUUGAAAGGCAUUCUUGUAAGUAACUAAAGAAAUGUGUGUAACCAAAUCAAAAAUGCAAUGCUACAAAACAUGAAACAAGUAGGACAUAAAAAAUAGAUGUCAUGAAAAAAAAAGAAAACAAUGUUUGAUUAAACAAUUCUAUAUACACAAAUGUAAACACUAGAAUUGCUGUAAUGCUAAUAACUUUAAAUAAUCUUUAUAAUUAUUCAUAUUUAUAAUGUAUUUAUACUUGCUUUUGAUGUAUGAACCUUUUAAAAAAGUUUGAAAUGUUUGUCAAAAAAUCGAAAUAAUGAUUUAGCAUAGUCAAUUUAUCAACAUCAACUUUCUUAAUGAAUAUUUAUCAUAUAUUAUUUUCUUUAAUAUUUAUUUAAUUUAACUGGAAAACAGCAUUCAGCCAGAAAAAAUAUAACUUUCACGAGAUGGCUUGUGGGUGGCAAUCUGUGAGACCUGAAGCCAUCAAACAAAGAAGGUAAAGAGAUGUAAAAAGUAUGAGAUUGUAGAAGAAGGUAUUUGGAGACUGGUCCAGUGGGUUUUUAAUUAAAAUGUCAAUACUUAGCUACCCAAUUAGCUACUAUAAGGUUAUCCAUAACAUCUAUGUUGUAUCUUGAUGGCCACGGUUGUACACAUUUUAAAAUGAAAUAAACAAUAAAAGUCACU